CGUGUAGGCGGUCUAUCGAGUCAGGCGUGAAAGCCCCGGGCUUAACCUGGGAACUGCGUUUGAUACUGAUAGACUAGAGGUUGGAAGAGGAGAGUGGAAUUCCCAGUGUAGAGGUGAAAUUCGUAGAUAUUGGGAAGAACACCAGUGGCGAAGGCGGCUCUCUGGUCCAUACCUGACGCUGAGGCGCGAAAGCGUGGGGAGCAAACAGGAUUAGAUACCCUGGUAGUCC
rnacentral:rRNA from 1 species